rnacentral:lncRNA from 1 species
UGAUGUGGAGGGAGCGGAGGCUGCGCGGCGGAGAGUAGAGAGCUAGAGGGUGAGAAGCGCUGGGCCGGACCAGAACUGUCUUAGCUUUUCCCUCUGCGGCUGCUCUGGUUGGUUACUUUGAGCCUGCCUCCUCAGCGCCGCAGGAGAGACUUAACAGCAAAAAUGACUGUGUCCUGAGUUCAGCCCCCACUGCUCUGGGAGCUUCCCCCUGGUUUCUGCACCUGAAGAAUGUCAUCCCAGCCGAAGGUUCUUAGGAGCGGGGAGCGACAAAGAAAAACAAAGAAAAGCAGACCUGAAAAUUGGGACCUGGGAGAAAUGUAAGACAUGUGCUUAAUUUGAGGCACAGACCAAAAGAAGCUGAGUCUGAGGGCCCUCUAAAAGUGUCCUCGUGCUUGGGCAGCUUACAUUCUUGGCGGCAGUAGUGUUAUGAAGAGGACCUUCGGAGCCAGAGACGAGUGCUCUAAACCAGUAUCAUGGCUCCAGUUCCUCUGACAAGGAUUCACAUGGGGUUGCAAUUCUGACUGUGCUGGUGAUGCUGGUUCCAGGUCCCUCAGGAACCCCUCCCCCAGUCUGGUCUGCCCUUGAACUCUAUACUGGCCCCAGGGUAUCCCAGGAUUGUCAGAAAGGCCUGGCCAGGAUUCACCUGGGAGAGGGAUCAGCAUCUCUGCAAAGUUGUUGGAUUGAAAGAACUUUCAUUUUGAGCUACAUCAUUGAAGAGCUUUAAAUCUGAAAAUAAGAAAGACGUUGAACCCUAUUACUCACAUCUCUUUGUCAUUUGAAGCAGAUCCCGAACCACUCAAAAGGACAAAACAAGGAAAUAGCAAUGAAAUUGGAUUCAGUGAAUGGGGUAAGGGUAUUAAGUGUCUGAAAUAUAAGAGAUAAAAAAAUUAGUUUUUACCUUUUUUUCUAUUUUCUAAAUGUUUUGGUGGCUAGAAUAAGAUAUACUUUGAACUCAAGAGCAAUAAAUGUUAAUAUAUUAAAAGUAGCUUUAUGAAAUAUGGAAAGUAUCUUUAUUUCAAAAUACUUCAAAGUAAUCAUCUGAAUAUUUAUCAGAAAUAUUAAGACAACUUAUUAAAUCCUGUAUUAAAAUGAUUGCUUAUUAAAAAAAAAAAAAAAAAA